GGAGGGUUGAGCCGGCGUUGAGCCUCUCGAGUUGGUUUAGCCCCUUCUUCUAGAAAUAUGCGAUGCAUGCAUGUUGUAGGGCUAAUUCCCUUAAUAUCGGCCAAUGUCCAUCCAAUGGCUGUUUUGUGCUCUUUCAACACCCGAAUCAACUUUUCUUCCUCUAAUGCCGUGAGUGAUGAAGAUACAAUGAUGGGCAACGUCUCUCCCUCUCCCAAGAAUGCAUACUUUAAAUGAUCCGGCAACGGUUUAAGCUCAAGAACGGGGGCCUGAAUCACAGAAGGUAACAACGUAUUAGUGGAAACGGGAAUUGGAAUUGGGUUAGACGGCUUACCAUGAUGUUUUGGCAAUGAGUCCAAGGCAG
rnacentral:lncRNA from 1 species